GCGGGGUCACCCCCUCCCCAGGCUCAUUAGGAGCCGCCAGCGGUAAUGAGGAGCCGGGGGUGGGGGACCUGCCGCUGCCUUGGCCGCCACCAACUAAUUGGGACCAGAAGCUGGACCUGAGACGAGGGAGGGGGAGAGACAGACAGACAGAGAGGUGGACACAGGGGGUGUGUCAGAGGGCUAAAAAUAGAGACUGGCGGAAGGACCGUCAGAGGAACAGAGACACAAAGAGAAGGACAAAGACAGAGUGGCCGAGGAAGAAAUAGAGAGAAAGAAUGGGAACGACAGAAAAAGAAAGGAAAAGGAAGAAAACAAGAAAAGAGAGCGAAGGAGAUGGAAACGAACAGUCAGAUGGAGAUGGAGGAGGGAAAGAAAAGGCUCUCAGAAAGACAGACGGAAAUGGAAGGACGUCCUGGUCUGGAAGGAGCUGCCCAGAGAUAAAUACAGCAGGGAGAGGCCCAGAAAGAUCGAGGGCGAGAUCUGUUCUGCAAUAUUCACCGUUCUCUGCAUCCAGCUCUGCUUAUCUGCUGUUACCUUGGACACCAGAGCAGGACCCCUCGCUGAAACAGAUAAGGAAAUUAACU